AGAGUUUGAUCCUGGCUCAGGACGAACGCUGGCGGCGUGCUUAACACAUGCAAGUCGAACGAGAAUCUGCGGAACGAGGAUUCGUCCAAGUGAAGCAGAGGACGGUGGCGGACGGGUGAGUAACGCGUGAGGAACCUGCCUUUCAGAGGGGGACAACAGUUGGAAACGACUGCUAAUACCGCAUGACACGAUAGAUGUCGCAUGGCAUUAUGUCAAAGAUUUA
rnacentral:rRNA from 1 species